rnacentral:rRNA from 1 species
AGAGUUUGAUCCUGGCUCAGGAUGAACGCUAGCUACAGGCUUAACACAUGCAAGUCGGGGGGCAGCGGGAUUGAAGCUUGCUUCAAUUGCCGGCGACCGGCGCACGGGUGAGUAACGCGUAUCCAACCUUCCGUACACUCAGGGAUAGCCUUUCGAAAGAAAGAUUAAUACCUGAUGGUAUGAUGAAAUUGCAUGAUAGCAUCAUUAAGGAUUUAUCGGUGUACGAUGGGGAUGCGUUCCAUUAGGUAGUAGGCGGGGUAACGGCCACCUAGCCUACGAUGGAUAGGGGUUCUGAGAGGAAGGUCCCCCANAUUGGAACUGAGACACGGUCCAAAACUCCUACGGGAGGCA